CCCUUAGAUGUUCUGGGCCGCACGCGUGCUACACUGAGUGGAUCAGCGGGUCAGGUUGCGCGAAAGCGUUUCCUAAUCUUUAAAUCCGCUCGUGAUGGGGAUUGACGGUUGCAAUUUUCUGUCAUGAACGAGGAAUACCUUGCAAGCGCGGGUCAUCAUCCCGCGCUGAAUACGUCCCUGCCCUUUGUACACACCGCCCGUCGCUCCUACCGAUUGAGUGGUCCGGUGAGGCUUUGGGAUCUGAGCGGAAAGAGCGUUUCGCUGUUUCUGCUCGGAAAACUCAGUCGAACCUUAUCAUUUAGAGGAAGGAGAAGUCGUAACA
rnacentral:rRNA from 1 species